rnacentral:rRNA from 1 species
CCUACGGGAGGCUGCAGUGGGGAAUAUUGGGCAAUGGGCGCAAGCCUGACCCAGCAACGCCGCGUGAAGGAAGAAGGCUCUCGGGUUGUAAACUUCUUUUUUCAGGGACGAAGCAAGUGACGGUACCUGAUGAAUAAGCCACGGCUAACUACGUGCCAGCAGUCGCGGUAUGACGUCGGUGGCAAGCGUUAUCCGGAUUUACUGGUUGUAAAGGUCGUGUAGGCGGGAAAGCAAGUCAGAUGUGAAAACCAUGGGCUCAACCUGUGGCCUGCAUUUGAAACUGGUUUUCUUGAGUACUGGAGAGGCAGACGGAAUUCCUAGUGUAGCGGUGAAAUGCGUAGAUAGUAGGAGGAACACCAGUGGCGAAGGCGGUCUGCUGGACAGCAACUGACGCUGAGGCGCGAAAGCGUGGGGAGCAAACAGGAUUAGAUACCCGAGUAGUC